rnacentral:rRNA from 1 species
GGUUGCGAUCAUACCAGCACUAAAGCACCGGAUCCCAUCAGAACUCCGCAGUUAAGCGUGCUUGGGCGAGAGUAGUACUAGGAUGGGUGACCCCCUGGGAAGUCCUCGUGUUGCAACCC